rnacentral:rRNA from 1 species
UACAGAGGGUGUGAGCGUUAAUCGGAAUUACUGGGCGUAAAGCGCACGUAGGUGGCGACGUAAGUCGGGUGUGAAAGCCCCGGGCUCAGCCUGGGAAUUGCAUUCGAGACUGCAUUGCUGGAGUACGGAAGAGGAAGGCGGAAUUCCCGGUGUAGCGGUGAAAUGCGCAGAUAUCGGGAAGAACACCUAUGGCGAAGGCAGCUCUCUGGGACGGUACUGACGCUGAGACGCGAAAGCGUGGGGAGCGAACAGG